CUUUAUUGUCAUUUCAACCAUGAGCAGUUGUGCAGUGCACAGUGAAAUGAGACGGCGGUCCUCCAAGACCAUGGUGCUACAUAUAACAGGCUAUCAACACAGGACUAUGUAAAGUGAAACAGGACAACUUAUGCACCACUUGCAACAGAUGUCAGUGACCCUUGUUCAUUCAUCAAAGGUGCAGCCUCAGGUGUGAUGAUGAAGUACCUGUGCACCUCCCACAGGAGCUGGCAUUUCUACUAAAGGAGACCACAGGACCCAGUACAGAUGCUGCUUGCACAUCUGUCUGCAAAAUGUUCACUUUUGAAAACAGCAGUGAAGACGCUCCACCCGUUCUUUAUAUGGAAACCAUUGUCAGGUUAAGAAACAAUUACAUUUGCCUUGUCUCCAUGGUUGCUUUCGUCUACAAGUGGUCUCUGCUGGUGUGGGCAGGCCAUUAGUAAUCGUUGGCACCACUGGUCAGCAUUACAUCCUAUCCUCAUGACUGACAUGAACUGGUGUGCUGACAAUCCACGCUGGCUGGAGAAACUGCCCAAAAGGUUUACCGAACUUCUCCCUGCUUUUCUGACCUACAAAAAGGCCAUCUGCAAGUCUUUACGGAUGAGCUGAGGUGGACUGACAAAUCUCCAGCAGACAUGGCAAAGCAAAUAAACGAACUCAUGCAUCUCAAGUAUGAGCUCACCUGGCAUACCUCCAUGUCACAGACUGUGUCUGGGAUUCUGAGGCAGGAGCACAAGGACAGAGGAACAUUGGGCAGUUACUGAAACCCCCCACAGGAGUUCAGGUCUUAUGAAACUUGUCAUGUCCAGUUAUUACAUUAUGAAUGAAAACUGGCGUAUUGUUUCAUGGAUCAAGGUUCAAUGUGAGAUGGAAAGGUCAUUGGAACCGAUGUACCAGGGAAUGGCCAAGAGGUACUGUGAUGCAGGAGUGGAAAAAGCCGGCUACCAGAAGUGAGAAAGUGUCUGGACUGUCUCCAGCUGUUCGCUGCAUGUAUUAAAGAGAACUUCAGACAUUGUCCUGACUUGAUUGUUCUGCCUGGUGGACAUGUCUGACACAGGCUGUACAGUCACACAGAUAAAAGACAAGCAGUCAUGUCUCUAAUAAUAUAAAUCAAACGGAGGAUUAUGAAGAUAAAAGCUGUGAGACCCCUCUAGAGAAAGUAUGGAUUUUUAUCAUUACAUGAAGUGAUUUAUAAAUAAUAUAAGAUUUAAGGGCAGCACUCACAACUUUAAAAAAAAAAAAAAAAAAAAUCAGAUUAACUGUAUGCUUACCAUCAGAUAGAGUUCACCUACAUGUUUAUAUAAGAGGCUAUAAAGAAGAGUGUUGAUAUUUUUGCAUAAAAUAAUUUAUGUUUAUAAUCUGUUUGAAUAUUUAUUUAAACAAAAGAAAUAUUCAUAACUAGAACAAAACUGUCUUAUGUACAGUAUCAAAUGUUUCUUCCUUAUUUGCUUUUUUCUUCCAUCCAUCGGUCUCUCCUCCUCAUAGAAAGCAGACUCCUGAAACUCCUUCCAGGUCAUUUCCUUGUGCAUGCCUUUGUCUCUGUAUAGAGAGUACACUUUCAAAGGGCAGCAGAUAUAUUUUCCUGCCACUCCAGGGAAGCCCGUAUGAAGGUAUGGGCUAUUUGGUCCCUGUUUCACAUCCCUGUGGCUGAAUCUGCAGAGGUGGCCUGAUUAUUGGGAUUCUGGUCUUUUCCUCCACCCUCUUCUUGGUAGCAUCAGAUUCCCUCAGCAGCAUAACUUUGAUGUACCUUAUUUGAACAAUAGAAAUAUGGCACAGGUCCUCGCUGGUAAAAAUAGUAGAUGGAAGAUCCAUCUGUCUCAUAUUGGGACUUGGGCUGUCCACAGGCAAGACAACUCUUUGUCUACCUCUUUUUUUCUUUUCUUUUUUUUCCCCCCCUUCAGGCUGCUGCUGCUGCUUCUAAGAUGCAUUCCACAGUCUUCUCUAUUGAGUCUUUGUGUCAGAGGUGUAGGCAGGGCAGGAGGAGGUGGGUUAAAGUAAGCUGGCUCUAUGGUGACCACAGGAAAACUAGGUGUCUCACUCUCUUCUGUGAGUCUGCAGAAGUUUUUCUGGGCUUGUGUUCAAAGAAGAACUGGUGUUGAGAGGCUUAGCCAUGUGCUUCACAUAACGGGAUAUCUGUAGCUUGGAUGUGCGGUGCAGCAAGCUGUUGGGAUCUGUAGCAGAACGAUGGACCAUGUUUGCAUAAGCUUGAGGAUGUCUUUCUUCCCAUGGUGCUUUUGCAGCAAGUCAUCUAUUACCCCUUUCAUGGGUCGUGUCCAGCGUGUGUGGUCCAGCACAAAAACCUGUCGACCUGCCUUUAUAGGUCCAGUGCAAGCACUCACAAAGGUAGCUCUCAUAGCUCUCGACAAAGGUAGAGCUUUCUGGGAAACAAUAGUAAUAGUUCAGUGGUUGCUCAUGUCAUGUAAUAAAUUAAUACUAAUAAUAAAUUAAUAAUUAUGCAGAACUGUUUGACAAUAUUAUUAUUUUAACCUACCCACGACUGUUGUAGGUUGCUGGAUGUCUUCUGAUGGUAUCUCCUGCUUUAAAAGUGCACUAGCAGAGAAUGGGUGGGUCACAGGUGGUGCUGGUGCGUGUGAUGCCACGGCUACCUGGAGGAGUGUCCCACUGCUGGAACUUGAAGUUGGGCAGAGAAAGGUUUUGGAAGAGAGGAUGGGGGGCUGAAGGGUACCCGGUUCAUCUUCUGGGUUUGUUUGUCCCUGUUCAAAGAGAUUGGAGGGCAGCCUGGCUCUCUGUAUUCAAGUCCAAAUCUCUCUCCAGUGUCUCUGUCAGACAGGUUAAGUGCAGGGUACUUCACCUGACCGGUCACUCUACUGGAGGAUGCAUUCAACUCUGCCACUAGAGCUGGAUCAAAAACAGAAGGCAGAAUGACACCUAGCUGCUUACGGUCCACUAGUCUUUGGUAGUUCCGUUGUGCCACCCCUGUCAUGUUCUGGGCCUUGAAUAAUUCAGUGGAUACAUGAGUCCCAGUGAUCCACUGGGCCUGGCGAAAACGGUAACCCUCCGGCUGUGAAGUGCAUCGGAAGGGAAUCCAGAUGGGGUCCUUAGCGCCUUCACCAGGGACAUGGUUCAGCUAAAGAGUCCCACCAUACCUAAACAUUACACCCUCUGAAAGUUCAGGGUCACUGAGGCAACCACAAGGAACAUGCACUCUCUGUAUGCGCCACACCUUCAGCAUGGAUGGCUUAAAGAGUGGGACGUUGUUGGAGUCUGUGGCCAGGUGAAAAUUGUUGAGCAUUCUUUCCCACUCAGCAGCUGUAAGCAGCUCUGUGGGUUGUGGUAUUUUGAUCCUGCAGUGCUCUUGUAUAUGUUGCUUAGUGCGAUUAGCAGGAUGGAUACAACAGAACUUAUAAGCAUCUUGGAGCCUCUUCAGGUUCGCCUGAUCAACCACUGAGAAGGCAGCAGAGAGAAGCUGGCAGAAAGUGCUGAUCAACGGAUCGUGCUCAGAGGUGAAUUCCCACAAAAAUCGCCUCAGGCAGUGGAACAGGUCAAGUUUCACAAUAAUGUUGCGAUUGUAUUUGGUUUGAGGCCCUAGCAACAAUAGCAGGAGUAGUUUUCCAGGCAUCCCACGAUAG